GAUGAACGCUGGCGGCGUGCCUAACACAUGCAAGUCGAACGAUGAAACCGCCCUCGGGCGGACAUGAAGUGGCGAACGGGUGAGUAACACGUGACCAACCUGCCCCUUGCUCCGGGACAACCUUGGGAAACCGAGGCUAAUACCGGAUACUCCUCGCCCCCCUCCUGGGGGGCCCGAGAAAGCCCAGACGGCAAGGGAUGGGGUCGCGGCCCAUUAGGUAGUAGGCGGGGUAACGGCCCACCUAGCCCGCGAUGGGUAGCCGGGUUGAGAGACCGACCGGCCACAUUGGGACUGAGAUACGGCCCAGACUCCUACGGGAGGCAGCAGUGGGGAAUUUUGCGCAAUGGGGGAAACCCUGACGCAGCAACGCCGCGUGCGGGACGACGGCCUUCGGGUUGUAAACCGCUUUCAGCAGGGAAGAAAUUCGACGGUAC
rnacentral:rRNA from 1 species